AUUGAACGCUGGCGGCAGGCCUAACACAUGCAAGUAGAACGAGUGGCGGACGGGUGAGUAAUGUCUGGGAAACUGCCUGAUGGAGGGGGAUAACUACUGGAAACGGUAGCUAAUACCGCAUACCAUCAGAUGUGCCCAGAUGGGAUUUGCUUGUUGGGGGGGGAACGGCGCACCAAGGCGACGCUCCCAAGCUGGUCUGAGAGGAUGACCAGCCACACUGGAACUGAGACACGGUCCAGACUCCUACGGGAGGCAUCAGUGGGGAAGAUGGCACAAUGGGCGAAAGCCUGAGGCAGCCAUGCCGCGUGUAUGAAGAAGGCCUUCGGGGUGUAAAGUACUUUCAGCGGGGAGGCGUUACCCGCAGAAGAAGCACCGGCUAACUCCGUGCCAGCCGCCGCGGUAAUAC
rnacentral:rRNA from 1 species